rnacentral:rRNA from 1 species
UACGAAGGGUGCAAGCGUUACUCGGAAUUACUGGGCGUAAAGCGUGCGUAGGUGGUUUGUUAAGUCUGUUGUGAAAGCCCCGGGCUCAACCUGGGAAUGGCAAUGGAUACUGGCAGGCUAGAGUGCGGUAGAGGUAGUGGAAUUCCGGUGUAGCGGUGAAAUGCGUAGAGAUCGGAGGAACGCCAGUGGCGAAGGCGGCUACCUGGACCAGCACUGACACUGAGGCACGAAAGCGUGGGGAGCAAACAGGAUUAGAAACC